CAACAUGGGUCUUCGUUAUAGUUCACUUGAUUCAACAUCUGUACUUUAUAAGCUUCACUACUUUGGGGUUCUCUUAAAUAGUCGAACAAAUAAUUCCUAUGUCCUCAUUAAAGACAGAGAUGCCCUCAUCUCCAAUCUUGUUGUAGGCCUUCAUUUGCCAAGUGAGGAAAUCAAUGGAGAUAUCCUUUUUGUUUUGUAUAAAGUAUCCAUCCUCCAAUGCGAAUCCAUGAAUAGUGACGG